rnacentral:rRNA from 1 species
GACGAACGCUGGCGGCGUGCUUAACACAUGCAAGUCGAACGGAAAGGCCCUGCUUUUGUGGGGUUCUCGAGUGGCGAACGGGUGAGUAACACGUGAGUAACCUGCCCUUGACUUUGGGAUAACUUCAGGAAACUGGGGCUAAUACCGGAUAGGAGCUCCUGCUGCAUGGUGGGGGUUGGAAAGUUUCGGCGGUUGGGGCUGGACUCGCGGCUUAUCAGCUUGUUGGUGGGGUAGUGGCUUACCAAGGCUUUGACGGGUAGCCGGCCUGAGAGGGUGACCGGCCACAUUGGGACUGAGAUACGGACCAGAAUGCUACGGGAGGCAGCAGUGGGGAAUAUUGCACAAUGGGCGGAAGUCUGAUGCAGCAACGCCGCGAGCGGGAUGACGGCCUUCGGGGUGUAAACAGAUUUCGCCGGUGACGAAGCGUGAGUGACGGUAAUGGGUAAAGAAGCACCGGCUAACUACGUG